rnacentral:misc_RNA from 1 species
GCAUCUAAAGGGUAUCUACUCCUAAGUUCAUCUCUAGCUGUCUUUCACAAGCCUCUCUCUCUCCAUCUCUGUCUCUUUGGGUAUGACUCUGUCUCUCUGGUAAACCUUCCCAAGCAAAGAACAUGCUACCUGGCAUGCCCAAAACUCACCCCCAUCACGCCCUGAUUGGUAUUACUGAGUAGCUUUAAUGGCUGGAAUUAGGCUUUCAACGCUAAAGUCAGUUUAUAGUUCCAUUAACCCUAAUUCAAAGCUGCAGCCAUUUAACCCGUUCACAAGUUGUACAAGAUGUGCUAAUCAAAGUCUUAUAAGAUCGUUAUGUGCUUUUUUAAAUCAAGAUUACUGCAAAGGAGAAUCUAAACUCGCUCAGAAUUUGGAAAAUGCUCAUCCUAAAAUUCUGAGUUAUGAUUCUUCGGUUGUUACCCAUUGUUUCAAAGUCAAAUCCGUAUUCUCAAGCGCAUCAUCACCCAAUUCGUGCUUUGGAAGAACUGUUCCUUAUAUUUCAGUAAGCUCCAUGUUGAGCUAUCGAUCACUUUCAUCAUCUUCUGGUGGCAAAGUCGACAAAACUGGGUCAGUUGAAAUUUCUGCUGCUUCUAGUGGGAGUGAUGUGGAUGUUGGUAACGGUGGUGAUGUUGGAAUUGACUGGAUUGAGAAGGUUAGAGACUCUUGGCGAAGUGCAGUGGAUGCAAUGACUUAUACUGGACAAAAGACUAAAGAGGUCUAUGAUGAAAUGAUCCCCUAUGGUCAGCAAUUACUUGAUUCACAUCCUUAUCUUAAAGAUGUGAUUGUUCCAGUUGGUUAUAUUAUUACUGGUACCAUAUUGGCAUGGGUAGUGAUGCCUAGGCUCUUGAGGAUGUUUCACAAAUAUGCUAUGCAAACUCCUGCUUCUUUGCUAUCUAGAAGCUUAUCUGGCGCGCCGGUUCCAUAUGAGAAAAGCUUUUGGGGUGCUUUAGAGGAUCCUGUGCGAUAUCUAGUUACCUUUAUGGCAUUUUUAAAAAUUGGCAUGAUGGUGGCACCAACUACUAUAGCAUCUCAGUACAUGGCACAGGGAUGGAGGGGUGCAAUUGUUCUUUCUUUUGUAUGGUUUCUGUAUCGGUGGAAAACAAAUGUGUUUAGCCGUGCAUUGGGUGCUCAAAGUUUAUCAUUGGUUGACAAAGAAAGGAUGUUAACUCUUGAUAAAGUUUCUUCUAUUGGUCUUUUUUUUAUUGGUUUAAUGGCCUUAGCUGAGGCGUGUGGAGUGGCUGUGCAAUCUAUUUUAACAGUGGGUGGCAUAGGAGGAGUGGCCACUGCUUUUGCUGCUAGAGACAUUCUUGGUAAUGUGCUGAGUGGGUUAUCUAUGCAGUUUUCAAAACCCUUUUCACUUGGAGAUACAAUAAAAGUAAGUUGAACAUGUCAUUUGUUAUUGGUUGAUCCAAGUUUGUCUUUAGAUGGAUAGAAAAAAUUCUCAAGCAAAUUUUGUGGCUAUGCAGGAAUGGUUAAUAAAUCCAAUCAAUGGCUUUUAUUAACAGUACUAUAGUGAUUAUUGUAGUUGUAUGCUGAAAAACUCUCUACUGAAAUGCAUAUUUGAUUUCUACAACAUCAAAAACAAAAAUUCAUUAAACAUGCAUGACUAUUUGUGCAUUUUAUCUAUUCUUCUUCUUGUAGGCUGGAUCUAUAGAAGGACAAGUGGUGGAAAUGGGACUUACUACCACAAUGUUACUCAAUGCUGAGAAAUUUCCUGUCUUAGUCCCAAAUUCAUUGUUUUCUAGUCAGGUAAUUGUGAAUAAAUCCCGUGCCCAAUGGCGUGCUAUGACCACUAAACUUCCUGUGAAAAUUGAUGAUUUGGAAAAGAUACCUCAGAUAUCAAAGGACAUAGAAAGCAUGCUAAAGUUGAACCCAAAAGUUUUCUUGGAAAAGGAGGCCCCAUACUGUUUCUUGUCUAGAGUAGAAAGCUCUUUUGCAGAAUUGACUAUUGGAUGCAAUCUUAGACACAUGAGCAAAAAUGAACUGUACUCCACGGAACAAGACAUUCUUUUGCAGUCAGUCCGGAUACUAAAGGAACAUGGUGCUAGAUUGGGUAGUACCUGGCAGGAUAUAACCUCUCAGUGAUUUUGCAGAUAAAUGAGAUUCUUUAUGCUGGAGUUUGGACACUUGCCUCCCUAUAGUUGCUGCAACUUCAUGGAGCUUUGCAAAGGCAUGAAUUGAAAAUCAUUAUAAUGUAAAGGUAGACUUGAGGCUAGCUGAAGUAGACAGAAUUUAGGUGUUAUAACUCAUCAUAUCUUGUGCAGAAGAAACAGGGAUUGG